GCCUAAUACAUGCAAGUCGAGCGGACGAAUCGAAAGCUUGCUUUUGAUUCGUUAGCGGCGGACGGGUGAGUAACACGUGGGCAACCUGCCCUGUGGACGGGGAUAACACCGAGAAAUCGGUGCUAAUACCGGAUAACACGAAAUGUCGCAUGACGUUUCGUUGAAAGACGGCGCAAGCUGUCGCUACAGGAUGGGCCCGCGGCGCAUUAGCUAGUUGGUGAGGUAACGGCUCACCAAGGCGACGAUGCGUAGCCGACCUGAGAGGGUGAUCGGCCACACUGGGACUGAGACACGGCCCAGACUCCUACGGGAGGCAGCAGUAGGGAAUCUUCCGCAAUGGACGAAAGUCUGACGGAGCAACGCCGCGUGAGCGAAGAAGGCCUUCGGGUCGUAAAGCUCUGUUGUUAGGGAAGAACAAGUAACGCAGUAACUGGCGUUGCCGUGACGGUACCUAACGAGAAAGCCACGGCUAACUACGUGCCAGCAGCCGCGGUAAUACGUAGGUGGCAAGCGUUGUCCGGAAUUAUUGGGCGUAAAGCGCGCGCAGGCGGUUCCUUAAGUCUGAUGUGAAAGCCCACGGCUCAACCGUGGAGGGUCAUUGGAAACUGGGGGACUUGAGUGCAGAAGAGGAGAGUGGAAUUCCACGUGUAGCGGUGAAAUGCGUACAGAUGUGGAGGAACACCUCUGGCGAAAGCGACUCUCUGG
rnacentral:rRNA from 1 species